UCGGGAAUCUUCCGCAAUGGGCGAAAGCCUGACGGAGCGACGCCGCGUGAGCGAUGAAGGCCUUCGGGUUGUAAAGCUCUGUGGGGAGGGAAGAAUAAGGGCAGGCGAAUACCCUGUUUGAUGACGGUACCUCCUUAGCAAGCACCGGCUAACUCUGUGCCAGCAGCCGCGGUAAGACAGAGGGUGCAAACGUUGUUCGGAUUUACUGGGCGUAAAGCGCGUGUAGGCGGCUUGGCAAGUCGGAUGUGAAAGCCCACGGCUCAACCGUGGAAGCGCAUCCGAAACUGCUUCGCUCGAGUCUCGGAGAGGAAGGUGGAAUGCUUGGUGUAGAGGUGAAAUUCGUAGAUAUCAAGCAGAACACCUGCGGCGAAGGCGGCCUCUGGACGAUGACUGACGCUGAGACGCGAAAGCGUGGGGAGCAAACAGGAUUAGAUACCCUGGUAGUCCACGCCGUAAACGAUGAGUGCUAGGUGUCACGGGCUUUCG
rnacentral:rRNA from 1 species